CAGUGCAUGCAGCUGGUGGUGGGGAAGUCACAACCAUGGCAUCUACAGCCGAGAGUCCUGCAGGUCAGAAGACAGUAAUCCUGGUCUCUUUUGAAACCCCACCAGCACACAGUGCUUCCUGUUCAACAUGUCACCUAAAGAAGGGACGAGCCCCUCGGUGAACCCUCUAAAUUACGAUGCUGGAACGAACUCGGUUCACACACGGUUGAGUGAAGGACGCGCCUGCGUGCUUCCGGUAUUGUUCGUACAAUUUUGGGCAGGUACCAUGGAGAUUAAUAAUAUGCAAAUUCAAACUAUGCCUGACUUCAGCAGACAUUGUCGUCGUCACAGACAUUCUCCCCAAGGAUGGAUUACCUGUCAUGUAACCACUGUUCUUCAGACUUUUCUCAAGGUGUUUACGGUUAAAAUGGAGUUUUCUAGCUUCAAAUAAUUAGGAAUCUCGAAACUGCUCUUGUGGUCUAUGCCUAUAACCCCAGCACUCUGCAGAUGGAGCCCGGAGCAUCGGGAGUUCAAGCCUGGUUAGCCUCGGCUAAGUGUCCCCAAAAGAAAGGAGGGUUGAGAAGAUUGCGCAAUCAAUCAAGUGUUUGCCACGAAAGCAUCAGGACCCGUGUCUACUUCCCAGAACCCAUGGCAAAGCUGUUGCCCUGACACGUGACUGUAAUCCCAGCACUGGGGGUUCAGAGAUAGGAAGAGUCCGAGUGCUAGCUGGCCAAGUCCAUCUAUACAAGACAGUGAACUCCAGAUCCAGUGAGUAAUCCUAGCUCAAAACUAAAUAAGGAGCAGGCGACACAGUCCUCGGACCUCCACAUUCAUGGCUGUGUACAAACACGUACACAAAAGAAAAGGGGGGGAUUUCAACUUGAACACAACUAAUGGUUGCACAUCUGUCUAUGUAUACACAGACACACACACCACACACACACAUAUACACGUUCAUGGUCCCCAAAUCUUAUGAGUGUUUAUGUAUUCCUGGCAAGUCCUAUGUAAGUCUAUUUUUACAUAAAUAGACUCACUUUUGCAUCCGAGGAUAAACAAAGCAGGUGUGUCUGCUUGGCAGCCAUGUCAAGAGGGGAAAGUUUGAGGACUUGCCUACCAAGGGUGCCAUCAGCUCAGCUCUCCCUGUGUGUGGACAAGGGUUACUCUAGUGCAUAGCCUGGCACGUGUGUGUGCCCACUCACUACUCACCAGGGCUCCUGGCAAGCCUGAGUCAGGGCUGAGUUUACAUAAGUCAGUCUUACGUAAGCCUAUACCUAUCAAGUCUUGGAAGAUUUGCCGUGCAAUAAAUAGUUGCGAUUA